rnacentral:rRNA from 1 species
UACGGGGGGGGGCAAGCGUUGUUCGGAAUUACUGGGCGUAAAGGGCUCGUAGGCGGCCGUGUGUGUGAGGCGUGAAAGCCCGGGGCUUAACCCCGGAAUUGCACCUCAAACUACAUGGCUAGGGCAUUGGAGAGGGUAGCGGAAUUCACGGUGUAGCAGUGAAAUGCGUAGAUAUCGUGAGGAACACCAGAGGCGAAGGCGGCUACCUGGACAAUUGCUGACACUCAGGCACGAAAGCGUGGGGAGCAAAAGGG